AGUGAACGCUGGCGGUAGGCCUAACACAUGCAAGUCGAACGGCAGCACAGUAAGAGCUUGCUCUUACGGGUGGCGAGUGGCGGACGGGUGAGGAAUACAUCGGAAUCUACUUUUUCGUGGGGGAUAACGUAGGGAAACUUACGCCAAUACCGCAUACGACCUACGGGUGAAAGCAGGGGAUCUUCGGACCUUGCGCGAUUGAAUGAGCCGAUGUCGGAUUAGCUAGUUGGCGGGGUAAAGGCCCACCAAGGCGACGAUCCGUAGCUGGUCUGAGUGGCUGGUCAGCCACACUGGAACGGGGCCACGGUCCAUGCUCCUACGGGAGGCAGCAGUGGGGAAUAUUGGGCAGUGGGCGCGAGCCUGAUCCAGCCAUACCGCGUGGGUGAAGAAGGCCUUCGGUUUGUAAAGCCCUUUUGUGGCGAGAGAAAAGCAGCAGGUUAAUACCCAGCUGUUCUGACGGUACCCAAAGAAUAAGCACCGGCUAACUUCGUG
rnacentral:rRNA from 1 species